UACGUAGGGUGCAAGCGUUGUCCGGAAUUAUUGGGCGUAAAGAGCUCGUAGGCGGUCUGUCGCGUCUGCUGUGAAAACUCAGGGCUUAACCCUGAGCUUGCAGUGGGUACGGGCAGACUAGAGUGCGGUAGGGGAGACUGGAAUUCCUGGUGUAGCGGUAAAAUGCGCAGAUAUCAGGAGGAACACCGGUGGCGAAGGCGGGUCUCUGGGCCGUAACUGACGCUGAGGAGCGAAAGCAUGGGGAGCGAACAGG
rnacentral:rRNA from 1 species